UUGAACACUGAACACCCAGAUACACAUCGCUGUUUAGUAUGUAUCUCUGUUAUCUAUGGCCAUCGUGUUUGUAUAUGUUCUUAUCAGUUUAUGGUGAUCUGUCUAUUCCACUCGAACUUAUUGUUAACUGCUUAAAUAUAGAUUAAAUUCUUCCAUAAAGUGGACUCAAUGCCCACUCCAGUUACAAAUGCUGAGAAACUCAUUUCGAGUGUCUUGGAAGCAGAACGCCCAACAAUAAGUAUUUUUCAUGAGAAAUCUCUGAUCGAGGCGAACAAGAUUUUCUUAGAGAAACAUAAAGAUUCCUUAAUGCACAGAGUUGCUGCUGCAGAACUACUGUAUGCUUUAUAACCUGACAAGAAAGCUGAGGCUAUUAAGCUAAUUGAGGACGCAACAAACAAUCCGGUGCCAAGGUG